UGAGUGUCCUGUCAGGGAGUUGUGCAGAGGCAGGAAUUUCCCCUGAGCCCCCUUUUCUCCAGGCUGGGCCGCCCCAGCUCCCUCAGGAGCUGUCCAGCUCCUUCCCCAGCUCCGUUCCCUUCUCUAGACCAGCCCCAGACCCUCUUGCCGUGCGCACCCAGAGCUGGACACAGCACUGGACAUUCCCCCACCAGUGCCCAGCACGGAGAGAAUUCCUGCUAAAGCAGAGUUUUCUCCUUUCCCAAAGCUGUUUUUGGUAUUUCCAGGCCCAUCUCGGUUUUUAGGGGAGUUGCAGGCCCAGAGAACCGCAGGAUGUUCUGGAGGGAAGCUGUGGUUUGGGGAUGAGACAUCAUCUCCCCCUGAACCCAAAGCACUCCCAGGGUGUGAUCAACACCAAACCGGAGCUGAGGAAACCGGGGCCACCCACACGGCUCCCCCAGCCCAGCCCCGUGCAGGCAGAGCCGGCAAUUAAAGUUCUGUGGACAGGAAAGGCGACCUAGAAGGAGAGGCAAUCCCAGCGUGGAUCAGGUGAGUCACCCCAGAAGCCCGAGGAAUGGGGAGGCAAAAAAAUAAAAAAAAAAAAAAGCCACCUGCGAAUUAAAUGAACGGGCAGAGCUGUGGGACAGGGAGGGGCUUCUCCAGGUGGGGUGUGCAGAGAGGGUAUAAAAGUGCUCCUGUCCCCAAAAGCCUCAUUCCCUCUCAUCUCUCCUCGUCUCUUCCUGCACGAGCAGCUCAGGUCACCCAGCACAGCACCAUGUGCUCCCGCCAGGACAAGGACCAGUGCCACCGGCAGCAGCGCCAGAGCAGCGGCGGCUGCCACAGCUCGGGGGGCGGCGGCUGCCACAGCUCCGGGGGCAGCUCCGGGGGCUGCCACAGCUCCGGGGGCAGCUCCGGUGGCUGCCACAGCUCCGGUGGCGGCGGCUGUCACAGCUCGGGAGGUGGCGGCUGCCACAGCUCCGGUGGCGGCGGCUGUCACAGCUCGGGAGGCGGCGGCUGCCACGGGAAGCCGCAGAUGCAGGGCCAGCAGCAGCAGCAGCAGCAGCAGGUGCUGCAGAUGCCGCAGCAGAAGAUGAAGUGACAGCGGGGCCCUCGCCUCGUCCCGGCUCCGGCAGCAAAGGCCAUGCCAGGACCGGCUCCCUCCCACCUCCGCGGGGCUCCCAAAGAUUCCCCGGUGUCCUCCGGAGCCUGGCAAGAGCCGGGCUGGCGCUGCCCGGGCUGUGGCAAAUAAAGGGUCACAUUCCCUAAAUCCCUCUGCUGUU
rnacentral:lncRNA from 1 species